GAGUGAACGCUGGCGGUAGGCCUAACACAUGCAAGUCGAACGGCAGCACAGUAAGAGCUUGCUCUUACGGGUGGCGAGUGGCGGACGGGUGAGGAAUACAUCGGAAUCUACUUUUUCGUGGGGGAUAACGUAGGGAAACUUACGCUAAUACCGCAUACGACCUACGGGUGAAAGCAGGGGAUCUUCGGACCUUGCGCGAUUGAAUGAGCCGAUGUCGGAUUAGCUAGUUGGCGGGGUAAAGGCCCACCAAGGCGACGAUCCGUAGCUGGUCUGAGAGGAUGGUCAGCCACACUGGAACUGAGACACGGUCCAGACUCCUACGGGAGGCAGCAGUGGGGAAUAUUGGACAAUGGGCGCAAGCCUGAUCCAGCCAUACCGCGUGGGUGAAGAAGGCCUUCGGGUUGUAAAGCCCUUUUGUUGGGAAAGAAAAGCAGCAGGUUAAUACCCCGCUGUUCUGACGGUACCCAAAGAAUAAGCACCGGCUAACUUCGUG
rnacentral:rRNA from 1 species